AAAAGUUGCCAAGACUCUGUUAUACGUCUAGCGUACUUCUAGACAGUGACAACAAUUUAGAUGUCAAAGAAAUGGGGCCAAGCACCGAAAUAUCAAAUGCCAUGUGUUCACAGUGAGACUCAGAUGCACACCAGCAGAAGGCCACACUAGACGUUAAUUUCUUGCCAUCCACUGACAUUCCCAAAUACGACUAUAGCCACUCCAGCAGCGAACAGGUGCACCACGAAUAUACGUAACAGUUGACACACCUCUGGGUCCCAUAAGAGGUCGUCAACUUAAUACCACAACUGGCAACCCUGUUUAUACCUUCAAAGGAAUUCCGUAUGCUGAACCACCAGUUGGA